rnacentral:rRNA from 1 species
CCUUUACAAUGCACGAAAGUGUGAUAAGGGAAUCCCCAGUGCUCACGUAUUGCGUGAGCUUUUGUCCAAGUGUAAAUAGCUUGGCGAAUAAGUGGUGGGUAAGACUGGUGCCAGCCGCCGCGGUAACACCAGCGCCACGAGUGGUAACCGCGAUUAUUGGGCCUAAAGCGUCCGUAGCAGGUUUGACAAAUCUUUUGUGAAAUUGUGCGGCUUAACCGUACAACGUGCAAGAGACACUAUCAAACUCGAGAUCGGGAGGAGUCAGAAGUAUUCCAGGGGGAGCGGUAAAAUGUUAUAAUCCCUGGAGGACUACCUAUGGCGAAGGCAUCUGACCAGAACGA